GUCGGUAAAACUCGUGCCAGCCACCGCGGUUAUACGAGAGGCCCAAGUUGAUAGUUAUCGGCGUAAAGAGUGGCCUGGGAAAAAUUACAAAAUAAAGCCGAACAUCUUCAAUACUGUUAUACGCGCUUGAAGAUAAGAAGCCCCACCACGAAAGUGGCUUUACCCCUUCCCACCCCACGAAAGCCAGGAAACAAACUGGGAUUAGAUACCCCACUAUG
rnacentral:rRNA from 1 species